AUUUUCUUGGGGGAAUGCAUAGGUGGAGAAUUGAAGUUCUCUUACAUUGGGUGCAGUCAUGAAGCUUUUGACUACUGUCAUUCAGACACAUGGUCACUGGGGAUGAUCAAGUAUUGCUUGUCAAGGAUGGACUAUGACCCUACAGACCCUCAAACCAAGGUGUACUGGAUUUUGCCAGAUAAAGACUAUGGUGAUGGCCUGCUAUGUGUGGACAAUCCAGAUGUUAUAGCUGCUAUGGUGAGGUCCAGCAGAGAAGCCAAGACAUCGGAUUUGUUAGUUGAUGAGGAGAACAAGAUUCAGACAUUAUAUCCUGAAAUCAUACUAAAAGGAUGCCCAACUGCAGAUGGAAAUGAGGAUGAAGAACAAGGAGAGGAUGCAGAUCAUGAUGCAGAGAAUGCAGAGGAAGGAGAGGAUGCAGAGGCAGAUCAUGAUGCAGAGAAUGCAAUGGAAGGAGAGGAUGCAGAGGCAGAUCAUGAUGCAGAUGCAGACAAUGCAGAUAAUGCAGUUGAAAACAAUGAUGGAGAAGAAGAGUUGAAUGAAACUGAUUCAGACUUUUAUGAGAGUGACUAUGAUUGUGAAGAUGGAGAUGAUGAUUUGUUUGCUCAGAAUGUGGACAAAUCAUUGGAUGACAACAAUGAAGAAGAGGAAGAGAUAUUUGAGGAGGAAGAUCCACUUGAUGAUGAUGAUCUCAACCUGUCAAAAGAUGAGUUGGAGAAGUUGAAAUAUACAUUCAGAACAGUCAAUGCAGAUAUGGACAUGAGCAACCCAAUCUUCAGGGUUGGGCAAGUAUUUGGAGAAAUGAAAGAGCUAAGGGAAGCAGUCACUGCAUACACAGUCAAAAACAGAGUGAAAAUCAUCAAAGCUAGAAAUGAGGCAGAGAGAUUCAUUGAUGUGUGUCAACCUGAUUGCCCUUGGAGGUUGAAAGCAUCUAGAGACAAUAGAACAGGAAGCAUUGUCAUCAGAGAGUACAAUGCAGAGCACACCUGUCAGAAAACAUGGGAUUCCAAGUGCUUGACAGUGAAGUACCUGACUGAGAUAUUUAUGGAUGAGUUCAGAGACAACAAGAGCAUGGACUUGGGUACAUUUGGAAGAAAAGUUCAGCAAAAGUUCAAGCUUAAUCCAGUGAGAAUGAAGCUUGGUAGGGCCAGGAGUGCUGCACUUAAGAUCAUACAUGGUGAUGAGAAAGCACAAUACAGCCAGUUGUGGGACUAUGGACAAGAACUGAGGAGAAGUAAUCCAGGGAGCAAAUUCAUUGUUUGCACAACCAAAGUGAAGGAAAUAGGUGACCUGCUUCCAAAAGAUCACCUAUCUUCACUAUAUUGGUCCUAUGAUGCCUGCAAGAGAGGUUUCCUGAAUGGGUGCAUGCCAAUUCUAUUUGUUGAUGGCUGUCACUUGAAGAGCAAAUACAAGGGUGUGCUGCUUACAGCUGUUGGGAUUGAUCCCAAUGAUUGCAUAUUUCCAAUUGCAAUGGGGAUGGUGGAGGUGGAGUCAACUUAC
rnacentral:rRNA from 1 species